rnacentral:lncRNA from 1 species
AAUGCCACUCCCCGACUAGGACCAGCAUAGUCUUAGGGAGAAAGCAUGCUAGGAAUUGGAGUUGUGUCCUCAAUUUCUUCAAGGACUUGAGCAUUUCUUCUUACACUAGAAUGUCUCCUGUUUAGAGAGUUUAUAGGAUUUCUCAAGGCCAUUUUUGCAUACUUAACAGCUCUUGACAACGGUAGAGAGUCUAAAUCUACACUUUCAGGGGGUUCCAACUCCACCACUCGAUGAGCCAAAGAUAGAGACAAAUCAUUAAUGAUCCAGUAAGCAACAUGAAACCUUGUAAUUUUGGGGUCAACGGUAG